AUGCUACCUUCCUGCAUGAUGAAAAUCCAAUCAACUGUAUCCCUAAUUGGCUGGUAUUUGGGACCAAUACCAAAUUUUACUCUAACUACACUCAAUCCUAGAAAAAUCUACCUAAGUGAAGCAUCAGCAUUAAAAACAAACAUAUUAACAUUGCACUUGGACUAUCUAUGUGGGGAAUGAGAAGAGAUCUUUGAAAAUCUGCUCUACAUCUUACAAACGAGAAAAUUGAAAUGGAAUGUUUCCCUGUUUUUAAACAGGGUUUUUCAUGGUGGCGUGGACCUUCGGCUCUUCUGUUGAGAUUAAUCUUAACCAGUGACCUGUCCAGACCCAAUAACCAAAACUGUCUGCCCUGGAAAUGAGAUUUUACUUACAAGAAGAUUGAUAUAUGACUGGUAAUGUUUACCACAAUUUUAAAAAAUGAAAAAUGAGGAUUUUUCAGAGCUCUAAUGAAACCAAGAGGAAAAUACAGACUUCUGGAAAGGUGUUUUGGACAUUGAAGACUGCAUCAAAGUAGGAAUUUUUUUUUUAUAAUUUUAUAAUUUCCUUUUUUUCCCUGCCCUAUAUUGUUCUUAAAGUGCCUCCAAAUCUCUACUCCAAAGAAGCAAUUGAGCUUUCCUCUAAAACUAAAGUUAGAAAAUGAUUAAUUAUUUAUAUGAAUUGAUUAUUUAAGUAUUUAUAGAACAGGUACCAUAUGCCCAGAAAGAAUUAUAAUGAAUAGUCC
rnacentral:lncRNA from 1 species